AUUGAACGCUGGCGGCACGCUUAACACAUGCAAGUCGAGCGGUAACAUGACUAGUAGCAAUACUAGUUGAUGACGAGCGGCGGACGGGUGAGUAACACGUAGGAACUUGCCCAGUAGUGGGGGACAACCAAGGGAAACUUUGGCUAAUACCGCAUAUUCUCGAGAGAGGAAAGCUGCCGCAAGGUGGCGCUAUUGGAGAGGCCUGCGUCCGAUUAGCUAGUUGGUGAGGUAAAGGCUCACCAAGGCGAGGAUCGGUAACUGGUCUGAGAGGACGACCAGUCACACUGGGACUGAGACACGGCCCAGACUCCUACGGGAGGCAGCAGUGGGGAAUCUUGGACAAUGGGGGCAACCCUGAUCCAGCGAUGCCGCGUGAGUGAAGAAGGCCUUCGGGUCGUAAAGCUCUUUAGGCUGGGAAGAAGGUUGGUAGUUUAAGAGAUAAUCAAUUUGACUGUACCAGCAGAAUAAGCACCGGCAAACUCUGUGCCAGCAGCCGCCGUAA
rnacentral:rRNA from 1 species